UUCCCCUUGUUGGUUUUGAUAAAAUAUUGGAAGGAGCAUCAUAUCGUUUCCCCUUGUUGGUUUUGAUAAAAUAUUGGAAGGAGCAUCAUAUCGUUUCCCCUUGUUGGUUUUGAUAAAAUAUUGGAAGGAGCAUCAUAUCGUUUCCCCUUGUUGGUUU